AUUGAACGCUGGCGGCAGGCCUAACACAUGCAAGUCGAACGGUAACAGGAAGCAGCUUGCUGCUUCGCUGACGAGUGGCGGGCGGGUGAGUAAUGUCUGGGAAGCUGCCUGAUGGAGGGGGAUAACUACUGGAAACGGUAGCUAAUACCGCAUAAUGUCGCAAGACCAAAGAGGGGGACCUUCGGGCCUCUUGCCAUCGGAUGUGCCCAGAUGGGAUUAGCUUGUUGGUGGGGUAACGGCUCACCAAGGCGACGAUCCCUAGCUGGUCUGAGAGGAUGACCAGCCACACUGGGACUGAGACACGGUCCAGACUCCUACGGGAGGCAGCAGUGGGGAAUAUUGCACAAUGGGCGCAAGCCUGAUGCAGCCAUGCCGCGUGUAUGAAGAAGGCCUUCGGGUUGUAAAGUACUUUCAGCGGGGAGGAAGGGAGUAAAGUUAAUACCUUUGCUCAUUGACGUUACCCGCAGAAGAAGCACCGGCUAACUCCGUG
rnacentral:rRNA from 1 species